CCGGGCUGCUGUGUUUUGGGCAGCCAUGGAGACUGCUGGAAUUGAGGUUUUUUUUUUUUUUUUUUUAUAAAGGAUUUUAUUUAUCCACUCAUGAGAGACACAGAGACAGAGGCAGAGACACAGGCAGAGGGAGAACCAGGCUCUCCACGGGACUCCCAGGAUCCCUGGGAUCACAACCCGAGCCAAAGGCAGACGCUCAACCACUGAGCCACCCAGGCACCCCUGGAAUUAUUAUGUCUCCAUUCUGCUGUGUACUUGUGAAGGAAACAGCCUACUGAUGAGGAUGACACCCUUACCAGCAUGUUCCUGUCACAAGCCCAAGGAGAGUGGAACAUUCAGCAGAGGACUUUACCCGCAGGGCCAUGCUGUGAGAUGACGGCAAAGGGAGUCUGUUGCUGAUUCUUGAGGACUGUGAAACCCAUCUUGAAGAUUCUCUUGCCAGUGAUGUGAUGGAUACAGUGGACGGGGAGGAGCUGGAUGUAUAUUUUCAUGGUGUAAGGUUUGGGUUGCUAACUACCUCUGAUUCAGGAAGAAAAGAAGCCAGGCAGCUAUGGCAGCUCCAAGGUGCUGCUGGCAUUGUCCCAAAUAUUGCUGGGAAGUUGGGUGAGGUUGAUGGUUUUUCUUGGCUGAACCCCACUACGUUAAUGGUGGAGAUGCAUUUCUUGGCUUUACAACUGACGCUGUCUCUCUCAUGUAUGUAGAGGUGCCUGAGAAGGCAGGAGAGCUUCCGGUCUCAGGGAUCAACAUGUAUUAUUUCAUGGAUGAAACGAGACUUUGGACUGAAGAUAAACUAAUUUACUGCAACUCUUAACGGCCACAAUAGAUGGUUGAGGGCAUCGAGAUUGCACUAAAAUCUCUUUAAAUAGGUAGCUAAUGGAUGGUUGCUUUUUUGGCUAUGAACAAAUGAAUGCAUCAAAA
rnacentral:lncRNA from 1 species